AGGCCAGCUUAUCUAGCUUAUCUAGCUUGGCCGGUUGAACUUGGCUAUGCAUUGUUGGCACUAUUCUUAAAAUAGAAAGUGGAAAUGAGGCAAUGAUAAAUUAAUGAUAAUGGUAUUCAUAUCAUUUUAAAUGGCCCCCCAAUUUUUUCAUCAUACAAAACAAAAACUUUUUUCUUUAGUGCCCUUAAUUAAAAUAAAAGAUCACGUGCAUCAGAUGUAUUCAGACUCACUUCUUGUUUGCAUGGUAACUGAUCAAUCGAAGCGCCUAGAUUCGCCGCUUGCAUGCUUCGAGGCAACAAUUAUGUUAUUGGCAAAUUGUCAUAAUUGAUCACGCGUUGACGGAAGUCACGUUACUUUCCUGAUGCAAAAUGUGUGGGUGGGUGGAGAGGAAUCACUCCAACACUCGUAACUAAAACAGUAUAGAAAUAUAAUAUAGUGACAUUUUUCCUUACCGAGUUUGAGCAGAAUUGUACUCGAUUCUUUAUAGCCUGAGGGAAAAUUCAAGGGAGUUCCUUUGAGAGUGCUUUCGCCCACUAUAGCAUUUGUUUUUUGUAUAUAGUCGUGAAUGUAACUCAGAUCAAAUUUCGACUUCAGAACAUCUUGCAAUUUGACGCUCCAGAAUAUAUUUUAUUGGUAAUUUUCAGCCUGGUAAUAGUUGCAUGGUUGUGAAUCAUUGCAAACUGAGUGUAUUCCUUUGCAUGCUUCGUUAGGUCCUUGAUGGCACCCUGCAGGCGAAUAUAAUGAAUAUAAGCAUACGAGUACAUUAUAUACUUGUAAACGUAGAGUCUACCCCCCUUGUAUAUAUAUACCUUAUACCUUUGUGCACCCGAAGUCUUUGUAGUCACAUUCUCUAGCUUACUUGGUGAGUGCAUACUGUUUUAGUAUGCUUUGACUACUUUACAGGAAAAAUGUCUGAUGGAUCUGUUUGCAGUAAAACCAGUAUAGGAUUGGCAGUGCGUUUGCAUGUGUUCAGCAACAAUAAUUAUUUGCCUGUUCAAACUGUUCUAUCUCUGCAGAAAAAGACUACAUCUGAAAACUGGAUGGAUAUAUAGUUUAUUUAUAGCCUUGUCUCUGUUUGUAUGUCUUAUUUUAUUGUCCAUGAACAUUCAAAAGACAAAACUCAAACACCUUGUGCGAAAUGCACGGUCUAUAAUAAAAUCAUGUCCCACAAAUUGUCCCCUAAAAUGCAUGUAUAUAUAUACUCUAUAGAACACCAGCAAUGUGCUAGGAUUGCCACCAAAUAAUGGUUAACAAUAAUAAUUAUUGUGAAUGGAUUGACUCUCACCGGAGUUCUUGUUUCCACGCUGUUUCUCUCGGCCAAUCCGAGCAAUUUUUCACAUUGCAAAUGUUUGUGGGACUUCAUUAUAGGAUUGUGAUACGUAUGGUAUUGUGAUACACUUCAAUGCUGGUUUUCACGUGUAUUAUCAUUCGGUUUCACAAUAAUCUUUUCGUUUUCACAGCUUGGAUGAAAUCUGCAGACUUGAAAAAUCACACGCUAAACAGACUGUACUUCUACAGUCAGGGGACUCGCUGGACAGGUCUUAGAGAGGAAAGAUCUAAAGAAACUGAGUGUGGCGGCGCAUUUUAUCAUCCCACUCUUUAUUGUUGGCCUUCUGCUGGGGAUUGCGCGGAAUCCAAUUUCUGGAGAAUGUCACAUUGCCUGUAAAAGUGGUGAAGAUUGCACACGCAGCGACGAUUCUAAAUUUUUGUUUAAGCUAAUUACAGAAUGGAUACCAGUACUCUCGAGUUACCGUUAAGUAUACUAUGCCUCUGUACGCUAUACUGAUAUGGUGGUGCUUGUUGCUGAGGAAACACUUUCUGAGCUCGUAUGCCUAAAAGAAAUGGGACUGUUACUAGGUUUCUUGUCAAGUUAUUGCGAAUUACAAAUAUACCAAACCCCAUACGGACCAACACACCCACCCCCUCAACCAGGAUCAGUCUACCUAUAGCAACGCAGUCGAUCAUGCCCCAACUUUCUGAGUGAGAGCAUAAUUAUUGGCAGUUCUCAUUUGAAAAGUGAGAGACGUCCAACAGAAGCAACAGCCCUCCUGCUUAACUGACUGGCACACACUAAUAAUGUUUGUGAGUGUAUAAUAUGCUUUACCUGAGUUGAUGAAGUGGAUACUACUAUUGUGCAAUCUUUGAUCAUUCUUAAUGAUGAUUAUAGUUUGUGUCCCCCAAAGAG